rnacentral:rRNA from 1 species
GCCUCUAGUUGCUACCAUUAUUCUCAGGAGUAGUGGAGCUAAUUAGAGGGACCGCCGUCGCUGAGACGGAGGAAGGUGGGGGCUACGGCAGGUCAGUAUGCCCCGAAACCCUCGGGCCACACGCGGGCUGCAAUGGUAAGGACAAUGAGUUUCGAUUCCGAAAGGAGGAGGCAAUCUCUAAACCUUACCACAGUUAUGAUUGAGGGCUGAAACUCGCCCUCAUGAAUAUGGAAUCCCUAGUAACCGCGUGUCACUAUCGCGCGGUGAAUACGUCCCUGCUCCUUGCACACACCGCCCGUAAUC